rnacentral:lncRNA from 1 species
UAACUAUCUGACUGAAUAGUUUUCUUAUCAGAUAGAGAAAUAAAAUGAGUCGCAAAGUCUAAAAGCAACAUUUCUCUGCCUGGGCUGCCUCGUACCUCUGCACGUCAAUCUGUUUCAAUGUGUGACCCCCACCCCCACCCCACCCCUCCCCACCCCUCCCCUCCCCUCCCCGAGCAGUCGGAGGUGAGUGCACUAACGUGCCCGGAGGUUGCCGUUUUAAUGAGUGUUUGCUGGAAAACGAAAAAUACAAGAAGGAGUCUUCAAGAAGGAUUUGUACGUUUUCACAACGGGGGAGUUUGCUAAACUUUGACCACUUCCAGAUACUGCGGGCCAUCGGGAAAGGGAGCUUUGGAAAGCUUCAGAGCAUUUCACCUGCUGUUUCAGACAACCAACUUGUGCAACUGCAGGUUAAACCCACCCCUCAUCAGUGAAACAAAAAUAAGGUAAGUGUCCAGAUUUGGUUUAAUAAAUUACUCAUUUAACAUACAUUUAGCAAGAAUGCUGUGCUGGAUGUCUUUUAGUGCAGGAAAGGUGAUGAGUUUCUUGAGUUGAGUUUUAUUCUUUUUAGAUGUGCAGUACAGCAUUGUUAUUACAGACCAAGCCAAAAUAUAUGAGAGGAAAGCUCUCUGGUAUUUAUGUUUAAGAUGAUUUCAUGUCUCCAUCUGCGUUUUAGUUCUUGCACAUUGUUUCAUUGAGUAAUGUAAAAAUUUCAGGCUGACAAUCAGUGUGUGAAAAGACAAAAUCAAAAUUCUAAUGAGUGUAACUGUAAGACAUUUAGAUUCUACAGCAAUUUGUGGUUGCAUUAAACAAUAACUAAGAUUAUUAAACAAUGGGGACAACUAACAAAGUUAGCUGGUCAUCAGUGUAAUUACACACAAGGCAAGCAGAAACUACCAAGAUAAAUAAAUAAAUAAAUAAAAUAAAAUAAAUACACACGGGGACAUCACUGACAUAAUGCUUUCCCUAGCCGCUUACCCUAAACCUAACCAUAGCCUAAUUGUAACCCUGGCCCUAAAA